rnacentral:rRNA from 1 species
UUAGGAAUUUUGGGCAAUGGGGGAAACCCUGACCCAGCAACGCCGCGUGGGGGGAUGACGGCCUUCGGGUUGUAAACCCCUUUUCCCAGGGAAGAUUGUGACGGUACCUGGGGAAGAAGUCCCGGCUAACUACGUGCCAGCAGCCGCGGUAAUACGUAGGGGGCAAGCGUUGUCCGGAUUUAUUGGGCGUAAAGCGCGCCCAGGCGGCUCGCCAAGUCGGUCGUGUAAUCUCUCGGCUCAACCGGGAGGGGUCGGGCGAAACUGGCGAGCUUGAGGUCGGUAGGGGAAAGCGGAAUUCCCGGUGUAGUGGUGGAAUGCGUAGAUAUCGGGAGGAACACCAGUGGCGAAGGCGGCUUUCUGGACCGAAACUGACGCUGAGGCGCGAAAGCGUGGGGAGCGAUCCGGAUUAGAUACCCGGGUAGUCCACGCCCUAAAACGUUGAGGACUAGGUGUCGGGGGUAUCGACCCCUCGGUGCCGGGAGCUACGCAUUAAGUCCUCCGCCUGGGGACUACGGCCGCAAGGCUAAAACUCAAACUGAAUUGACGGGGGAGAGUC